CAAGGUACCUAGAAAGUUCCCUGCCGCACCGGCUCCCUUCCAACAGCUUUGAGACCUUGCGGGCCUCCUACCCUCACCUGGGCCUCCACCUUCCUGUUCAGGGAGCCGAGGCCACAGGUGCAGCACAUGCUGGGAACCGCAGGGUCUCCGCUCCCUCCCUGCAGGCCCCGGGCUGCAAGCCUGCAAGGCAGCCGGAAGAGGCCGAGGAGGAAGGGGACCCCGGAGGCCAGAGGACAUCCUGGGCGCAGAGCCAUGAAAAAGCUGGAGUGAGUUCAGGGAAGAGUGAUAAAGAAGGGAGUUCUGGAAGAAGCCAGAGGAAGGCUGCCUUGCUGAGCUGACCAGGUUCGCUUCGCCAGAGCGUCUGCGUUCCUGGGUCCCUGAGCUCUUCACAAACAGACCCCCACCGCUCCCUUUGUCACUUUGCAUCACGCGCGGCUGCUUUGGGGAUAUCGACUGAUUAUCCUCGGCUGGGGUCGUGGGGCUCCCUCCCACCCCCGGGCCUUUGCACGUGCCGCGGGCUUUGCCAAGAGUGCCUUUCCUUUCACUCUGGGCCUCGGCGGAUUAAGCACAAGACCGGCCCUGCCCCUUUCUCCCGGAAACCUUCACAAGCCCCUCCUUGAGGUGGUGACGCGUCCCUCCUCUGGCUGUGGCAGUCUCCGUUCACCUCUGUCACACACUAUGGCGACCCGUGCUUGCGGGAACUGUA